rnacentral:rRNA from 1 species
UACGUAGGGGGCCAGCGUUGUCCGGACUUACUGGGCGUAAAGCGCGCGCAGGCGGUCGCGGGCUGUGCCGCGUGAAAGCGCCGGGCUUACCCCGGCGAGGGCGUGGCAGACAGCGUGACUGGAGCCUCGGAGAGGCCGGUGGAAUUCCGGGUGGAGCGGUGAAAUGCGUAGAGAUCCGGAGGAACACCAGAGGCGUAAGCGGCCGGCUGGCCGAGGGCUGACGCUGAGGCGCGACGGCGUGGGCAGCGAACCGG